GCCGGCGUAGUUUAAUGCUAGAAUGGUUACUUCGUAAGUAACAGGUGGAGCGUUCAAUUCCUCCCGCCGGCUCUA
rnacentral:tRNA from 1 species